AUCUUAUCCCGUGGUGAUUUGGCCGGUCGGCUUGCAGCCACGUUAAACAAUUGGCUAAAAAGAUCGGACGCGUGCAAAC
rfam:Rhizobium taibaishanense strain 14971 C191, whole genome shotgun sequence.